CAUCUCUUUACUCUGGCCAACUCUGGCCAGGUAUCCUUUGCCCGCUCAUGCCUGCAGAAACCUGAGGGUUUCACAGAGGGGACCCUAAGGAAUAUGGUGCUGGAGCACUCACUGAAUAGCUCCACUAAAGCCAAAGAUGCACAGCACCACCAGCAGACACUGUUUUUAAACACGCUACAAUAACAUCAACUGCUGGACUGCUGGUGACUAAUA